AGCGAACGCUGGCGGCAGGCUUAACACAUGCAAGUCGAGCGGGCAUCUUCGGAUGUCGGCGGCAGACGGGUGAGUAACACGUGGGAACGUACCCUUCGGUUCGGAACAACUCUGGGAAACUGGAGCUAAUACCGGAUACGCCCUUAUGGGGAAAGGUUUACUGCCGAAGGAUCGGCGCGCGGCUGAUUAGCUGGUUGGUGGGGUUACGGCCUACCAAGGCGACGAUCAGUAGCUGGUCUGAGAGGAAGAUCCGCCACACUGGGACUGAGACACGGCCCAGAAUCCUACGGGAGGGAGCAGUGGGGAAUAUUGGACAGUGGGGGCAGGCCUGAUCCAGCCAUGCCGGGUGAGUGAUGAAGGCCUUAGGGUUGUAAAGCUCUUUUGUCCGGGACGAUAAUGACGGUACCGGAAGAAUAAGCCCCGGCUAACUUCGUG
rnacentral:rRNA from 1 species